rnacentral:rRNA from 1 species
CAAGCAGUGGGAGCACAGGUUUACCUGUGUGACUGCGUACCUUUUGUAUAAUGGGUCAGCGACUUAUAUUCUGUAGCAAGGUUAACCGAAUAGGGGAGCCGGAGGGAAACCGAGUCUUAAUUGGGCGUUAAGUUGCAGGGUAUAGACCCGAAACCCGGUGAUCUAGCCAUGGGCAGGUUGAAGGUUGGGUAACACUAACUGGAGGACCGAACCGACUAAUGUUGAAAAAUUAGCGGAUGACCUGUGGCUGGGGGUGAAAGGCCAAUCAAACCGGGAGAUAGCUGGUUCUCCCCGAAAGCUAUUUAGGUAGCGCCUCGUGAAUUCAUCUCCGGGGGUAGAGCACUGUUUCGGCUAGGGGGCCAUCCCGGCUUACCAACCCGAUGCAAACUGCGAAUACCGGAGAAUGUUAUCACGGGAGACACACGGCGGGUGCUAACGUCCGUCGUGAAGAGGGAAACAACCCAGACCGCCAGCUAAGGUCCCAAAGUCAUGGUUAAGUGGGAAACGAUGUGGGAAGGCCCAGACAGCCAGGAUGUUGGCUUAGAAGCAGCCAUCAUUUAAAGAAAGCGUAAUAGCUCACUGGUCGAGUCGGCCUGCGCGGAAGAUGUAACGGGGCUAAACCAU